rnacentral:rRNA from 1 species
GACGAACCGUGCGAACGUUAUUCGGAAUCACUGGGCUUAAAGGGCGCGUAGGCGGGCUCGUAAGUCAGGGGUGAAAUCCCACGGCCCAACCGUGGAAGUGCCUCUGAUACUGCGGGCCUCGAGGGGGAUAGGGGCGUGCGGAACUCAGGGUGGAGCGGUGAAAUGCGUAGAUAUCCUGAGGAACACCGGUGGCGAAAGCGGCGCGCUGGAUCCCUUCUGACGCUGAGGCGCGAAAGCCAGGGGAGCAAAC